rnacentral:rRNA from 1 species
AUUGAACGCUGGCGGCAUGCUUUACACAUGCAAGUCGAACGGUAACAGGGUGCUUGCACCGCUGACGAGUGGCGAACGGGUGAGUAAUACAUCGGAAUGUACCCAGUAAUGGGGGAUAACGCUUCGAAAGGAGUGCUAAUACCGCAUACGCCCUGAGGGGGAAAGUGGGGGACCGCAAGGCCUCACGUUAUUGGAGCAGCCGAUGGCUGAUUAGCUAGUUGGUGAGGUAAAGGCUCACCAAGGCGACGAUCAGUAGCGGGUCUUAGAGGACGAUCCGCCACACUGGAACUGCGACACGGUCCAGACUCCUACGGUGGGCGGCAGUGGGGAAUCUUGGACAAUGGGCGAAAGCCUGAUCCAGCAAUGCCGCGUGCGUGAAGAAGGCCUUCGGGUUGUAAAGCGCUUUUGUCGGGGAGCAAAUCCUGGCCUCUAAUACAGGUCGGGGAUGAGAGUACCAGAAGAAUAAGGACCGGCUAACUACGUGCCAGCCGCCGCCGUAACAC